CUUCACCGAUCCCAGCCACAGGGGCCGCUCCGCCGGCCGCCCCUGGCCGUAGGUGGCCAGCACCGCCUGCGCCUC
rnacentral:antisense_RNA from 1 species